CCUACGGGUGGCAGCAGUGAGGAAUAUUGGUCAAUGGCCGUAAGGCUGAACCAGCCAAGUAGCGUGAGGGAAGACUGCCCUAUGGGUUGUAAACCUCUUUUAUGCGGGGAUAAAGGUGUCCACGUGUGGAUGUUUGCAGGUACCGCAUGAAUAAGGACCGGCUAAUUCCGUGCCCGCAGCCGCGGUAAUACGGAAGGUCCGGGCGUUAUCCGGUUUUAUUGGGUUUAAAGGGAGCGUAGGCCGGUCUUUAAGCGUGCCGGGAAAUUUUGUGGCUCAACCAUGUGAGUGCGGCGGAAACUGGAGACCUUGAGUGCGCGGGAGGCAGGCGGAAUGCGUGGUGUAGCGGUGAAAUGCAUAGAUAUCACGAAGAACCCCGAUUGCGAAGGCAGCCUACCGCAGCGUGACUGACGCUGAUGCACGAAAGCGCGGGUAUCGAACAGGAUUAGAUACCCUUGUAGUC
rnacentral:rRNA from 1 species